AGUGAACGCUGGCGGUAGGCCUAACACAUGCAAGUCGAACGGCAGCACAGUAAGAGCUUGCUCUUACGGGUGACGAGUGGCGGACGGGUGAGGAAUACAUCGGAAUCUACUUUUUCGUGGGGGAUAACGUAGGGAAACUUACGCUAAUACCGCAUACGACCUACGGGUGAAAGCAGGGGAUCUUCGGACCUUGCGCGAUUGAAUGAGCCGAUGUCGGAUUAGCUAGUUGGCGGGGUAAAGGCCCACCAAGGCGACGAUCCGUAGCUGGUCUGAGAGGAUGAUAAGCCACACUGGAACUGAGACACGGUCCAGACUCCUACGGGAGGCAGCAGUGGGGAAUAGUGGACAAUGGGCGCAAGCCUGAUCCAGCCAUACCGCGUGGGUGAAGAAGGCCUUCGGGUUGUAAAGCCCUUUUGUUGGGAAAGAAAAGCAGCAGGUUAAUACCCCGCUGUUCUGACGGUACCCAAAGAAUAAGCACCGGCUAACUUCGUG
rnacentral:rRNA from 1 species